rnacentral:lncRNA from 1 species
GCAUAUGACUGAUGAUGAGAUUUGACGAGUUCUCUAUGACCUCCGUCAAGUUGAGACUCACGAUAGAAGAAUUGAAUCACACAGUAACUGCACCUAGGGAUUCACACUUUCAUUCUGCUGGGUUGCCACUACAUACUGCUAGGUGUCACUGACAGAUUGUGGGAUUCAUCAAAUAGCAUCUUGAUGAUCGAUGACCCUUGAAGGGCAGAGUUAAAAUUUUUCAAUCCAUCGAAAGGAGUUUCGAUAAUAUUAUGAUGGAGAUCAUAAUAUAUCUCACUAUCAG